AUUGAACGCUGGCGGCAGGCCUAACACAUGCAAGUCGAACGGAGUGGCGGACGGGUGAGUAAUGUAUGGGAAACUGCCUGAUGGAGGGAGAUAACGUCCGGAAACGGGCGCUAAUACCGCAUACUAUCAGAUGAACCUAGGUCGGAUUAGAUAGUUGGUGGGGUAAAGGCCUACCAAGGCGACUAGCCGUAACUGGUCUGAGAGGUUGAUCAGUGACACUGGAACUGAUAGAUGGUCCAGACUCCUACGGGAGGCAUCAGUGGGGAAUAUUGGACAAGGGGCGACAGCCUGAGCCAGCCAUGCGGCGUGUGUGAAGAAGGUCUUCGGAUUGUAAAGCACUGUAAGUGGGUAGGCGGUACCAACAUAAUAAGCACCGGCUAACUUCGGGCCAGCAGCCGCGGUAAUAC
rnacentral:rRNA from 1 species